GAUGAACGCUGGCGGCGUGCCUAAUACAUGCAAGUCGAGCGAACGGACGAGGAGCUUGUUCCUCUGACGUUAGCGGCGGACGGGUGAGUAACACGUGGAUAACCUACCUAUAAGACUGGGAUAACUUCGGGAAACCGGAGCUAAUACCGGAUAAUAUAUUGAACCGCAUGGUUCAAUAGUGAAAGACGGUUUUGCUGUCACUUAUAGAUGGAUCCGCGCCGCAUUAGCUAGUUGGUAAGGUAACGGCUUACCAAGGCAACGAUGCGUAGCCGACCUGAGAGGGUGAUCGGCCACACUGGAACUGAGACACGGUCCAGACUCCUACGGGAGGCAGCAGUAGGGAAUCUUCCGCAAUGGGCGAAAGCCUGACGGAGCAACGCCGCGUGAGUGAUGAAGGUCUUCGGAUCGUAAAACUCUGUUAUUAGGGAAGAACAAAUGUGUAAGUAACUAUGCACGUCUUGACGGUACCUAAUCAGAAAGCCACGGCUAACUACGUG
rnacentral:rRNA from 1 species